AUUAGGCAGCAACCAUUUGAUUUUCUGGGGGGGGCUAUGGUUUUUUUUGGAAAAAAAAGUUUGUUUCCAGUUUUUGGAGAAAAAAAUAAUUUGUUUUUGAUUCUGAGAAAAAAAAAUUGUUUGUUUCACCCUCAGCUGCCACUAUAUGUAAUGCUAAAAUUGAAAGAAAAAAAUUGUUUUCGACUUGUCGCGAAAAAAAUAGAUUGUUUUUUGCCUCAGGCGAAAAAAAAAAUUUGUCCAGAAAAAAAAAACCAUAGCCCCCCCCAGAAAAUCAAAUGGUUGCUGCCUUAU
rnacentral:lncRNA from 1 species